GAUGAAGAAAGUAGCGAAAUGCGAUACGUAAUGUGAAUUGCAGAAUUCAGUGAAUCAUCGAGUCUUUGAACGCACAUUGCGCCCCCUGGUAUUCCGGGGGGCAUGCCUGUCCGAGCGUCAUUGCUGCCCUCAAGCACGGCUUGUGUGUUGGGCCUCCGUCCUCCUCCCGGGGGACGGGCCCGAAAGGCAGCGGCGGCACCGCGUCCGGUCCUCGAGCGUAUGGGGCUUCGUCACCCGCUCUUGUAGGCCCGGCCGGCGCUUGCCGACACAUCAAUCUUUUUUCCAGGUUGACCUCGGAUCAGGUAGGGAUACCCGCUGAACUUAAGCAUAUCAAUAAGCGGAGGA
rnacentral:misc_RNA from 1 species